AAAACCCAUAUAAUUCACCAAAAAAGAAAUUCAAUGAUGAAGUUCAAUUAUAGUACCAUUAUUUUUAUUUAUUGAAUUGUAAAAUGGUUUUAUUUGAAAAAUCCUUCUAAAAUGAUUAAUUAUCUCCUCUGUAUGCCCCACUAAAAAAAAUAUCUUAAACAAAUAGUCCCUUGAUUGGUUUUACAUGUAAUGUUCAGUGUGCGUG
rnacentral:lncRNA from 1 species